rnacentral:rRNA from 1 species
GGUUAAAGGUACCCGUACCGCAAACCGACACAGGUGGGUGAGGAGAGUAUCCUAAGGCCAGCGAGAGAACUGUUGUUAAGGAACUCGGCAAAAUGACCCCGUAACUUAGGGAUAAGGGGUGCCACCAGCAGGUGGCCGCAGAGAAUAGGCCCAAGCGACUGUUUACCAAAAACAUAGGUUUCUGCUAAGUCGCAAGACGAAGUAUAGGCGCUGACGCCUGCCCGGUGCUGGAAGGUUAAGGGGAUCUGUUAGAG